rnacentral:rRNA from 1 species
UUGAUCCUGGCUCAGAAUCAACGCUGGCGGCGUGCCUAACACAUGCAAGUCGAACGCGAAAGUCCCGCAAGGGAUCAGUAGAGUGGCAAACGGGUGAGUUACACGUGGGUGACCUGCCUUCGAGUGGGGGAUAACGUCCCGAAAGGGACUCUAAUACCGCAUGACAUCCUGCCUUUUAAGAGGCGGAGAUCAAAGCUGGUGAUCGCAAGACCUAGCGCUUGAAGAGGGGCCCGCGUCUGAUUAGCUAGUUGGUGAGGUAACGGCUCACCAAGGCGACGAUCAGUAUCCGGCCUGAGAGGUCGGACGGACACACUGGGACUGAGACACGGCCCAGACUCCUACGGGAGGCUGCAGUGGGGAAUUGUUCGCAAUGGGCGCAAGCCUGACGACGCAACGCCGUGUGGAGGAUGAAGACCUUCGGGUCGUAAACUCCUUUCGAUCGAGACGAAUGGCUUCCGGGUGAAUACCCCGGGAGAUUGACGGUACCGAGAGAAGAAGCUCCGGCUAACUCCGUGCCAGCAGCCGCGGUAAUAAGGU